rnacentral:tRNA from 1 species
GGCGAAUAUAGCUCAAUUGGUUAGAGUGUCAAAUUGUGGCUUUGGAAGUUGCGGGUUCGAAUCCCGUUAUUCACC